CACAUGCAAGUCGAACGCCCCGCAAGGGGAGUGGCAGACGGGUGAGUAACGCGUGGGAAUCUACCCAUCUCUGCGGAAUAGCUCUGGGAAACUGGAAUUAAUACCGCAUACGCCCUACGGGGGAAAGAUUUAUCGGGGAUGGAUGAGCCCGCGUUGGAUUAGCUAGUUGGUGGGGUAAAGGCCUACCAAGGCGACGAUCCAUAGCUGGUCUGAGAGGAUGAUCAGCCACAUUGGGACUGAGACACGGCCCAAACUCCUACGGGAGGCAGCAGUGGGGAAUAUUGGACAAUGGGCGCAAGCCUGAUCCAGCCAUGCCGCGUGAGUGAUGAAGGCCUUAGGGUUGUAAAGCUCUUUCACCGGAGAAGAUAAUGACGGUAUCCGGAGAAGAAGCCCCGGCUAACUUCGUGCCAGCAGCCGCGGUAAUACGAAGGGGGCUAGCGUUGUUCGGAAUUACUGGGCGUAAAGCCCACGUAGGCGGAUAUUUAAGUCAGGGGUGAAAUCCCAGAGCUCAACUCUGGAACUGCCUUUGAUACUGGGUAUCUUGAGUAUGGAAGAGGU
rnacentral:rRNA from 1 species